AUUGAACGCUGGCGGCAGGCCUAACACAUGCAAGUCGAGCGAGCGGCGGACGGGUGAGUAAUGUAUGGGGAUCUGCCCGAUAGAGGGGGCUAACUACUGGAAACGGUGGAUAAUACCGCAUACUAUAGGAUGAACCCAUAUGGGAUUAGCUAGUAGGUGGGGUAAAGGCUCAACUAGGCGACGCUCUCUAGCUGGUCUGAGAGGAUGAUCAGCCACACUGGGACUGAGACACGGCCCAGACUCCUACGGGAGGCAGCAGUGGGGAAUAUUGCACAAUGGGCGCAAGCCUGAUGCAGCCAUGCCGCGUGUAUGAAGAAGGCCUUCGGGUUGUAAAGUACUUUCAGCGAGGAGGCGUUACUCGCAGAAGAAGCACCGGCUAACUCCGUGCCAGCAGCCGCGGUAAUUC
rnacentral:rRNA from 1 species